GGCGACAUAGUGCAGUAAUCACAGGCAUGCAUCUAAUAAAGUAACCUUUUUUGGGAUCAUUGGGUUGCUUACUUGAUAUACUUGUAUUUAUCAGUGUGAGGAAAAAAGUUAAGGAUUGAGAAUCAAAGAAUUUAUGACCUAAUAUAAUGUGUGAUUAAAUUAGUUGUAGGCAUUCAUUCCAUCUAUUUUAUUACUUAGUGUCAAUAUACCUGAAUAUAUAUUGACAUAUUUUAUUUCUUUGUAGAAAGAGAUGGUUCUCAUUGAUUUCAAUUAAUCU
rnacentral:misc_RNA from 1 species